GAAAUGCGUAGAGAUCUGGAGGAAUACCGGUGGCGAAGGCGGCCCCCUGGACAAAGACUGACGCUCAGGUGCGAAAGCGUGGGGAGCAAACAGGAUUAGAUACCCUGGUAGUCCACGCCGUAAACGAUGUCGACUUGGAGGUUGUGCCCUUGAGGCGUGGCUUCCGGAGCUAACGCGUUAAGUCGACCGCCUGGGGAGUACGGCCGCAAGGUUAAAACUCAAAUGAAUUGACGGGGGCCCGCACAAGCGGUGGAGCAUGUGGUUUAAUUCGAUGCAACGCGAAGAACCUUACCUACUCUUGACAUCCA
rnacentral:rRNA from 1 species